GAGGGUGAGGAAAGAGACUGUCCAAGUGGGCCGGUCAAGUAGUAAUUUCCUUUCCUUAGGACGUUAAGAAACAAUUCUUGGGAGUGCCCAUUAGUGAUAGUUAAAAAUUGAAUGAAGAUUUUGUCUUGUUAUAAGGUGUGUGUUUUACUUUGGAUCUAAAAAUGUAAGGAUGUCAUCCAAUCACAGAUGAGCUGUGGCAGAGGAGCGUCAAGCCUUGCGGUACGGUUGGCCACGUUACACAGUUCAGGGCAGCGACAGCAGCAGCAGCUACCUUGCAACCAUGAGACGGAAAAGUUUGAGAGCACAAGCCAACUCGCUAGGAUUGAAGGAGCCAAAAAUAGAAAGCAUCUGGGUCCCUGUUGGCAUUGAUGAGCAGCGGUACCACAGCCAGCUACUGUCUACUUUUUCCUCCCAAGAUUUUAUUACAAAAAUUUUUAAACAUACAGACAAGUUGAAAGAAUUGUACAGUGGACACCCAC
rnacentral:lncRNA from 1 species